UACGAAGGGGGCUAGCGUUGCUCGGAAUGACUGGGCGUAAAGGGCGCGUAGGCGGAUGGCACAGUCAGAUGUGAAAUUCCCGGGCUUAACCUGGGGGCUGCAUUUGAUACGUGUUGUCUUGAGCUCGGAAGAGGGUCGUGGAAUUCCCAGUGUAGAGGUGAAAUUCGUAGAUAUUGGGAAGAACACCGGUGGCGAAGGCGGCGACCUGGUCCGACACUGACGCUGAGGCGCGAAAGCGUGGGGAGCAAACAGG
rnacentral:rRNA from 1 species